CACGUAGUUAGCCGGGGCUUCUUACUCAGGUACCGUCUGCUGACCGUAAGGUCAGUAUUUCUUCCCUGCUGAUAGAGCUUUACGUAACGAAUUACUUCUUCACUCACGCGGCGUCGCUGUAUCAGGGUUUCCCCCAUUGUGCAAUAUUCCCCACUGCUGCCUCCCGUAGGAGUCUGGGCCGUGUCUCAGUCCCAAUGUGGCCGUCCGCCCUCUCAGGCCGGCUACUGAUCGUCGCCUUGGUGGGCCGUUACCCCGCCAACAAGCUAAUCAGACGCGGGUCCAUCUUACACCACCGGAGUUUUUCACACCGCUUCAUGCGAAGCUGUGCGCUUAUGCGGUUUUAGCACCUAUUUCUAAGUGUUAUCCCCCUGUGUAAGGCAGGUUACCCACGCGUUACUCACCCGUCCGCCACUAACCCAUAUAUCACUAGGUUUCAAUAUGGGUCCGUUCGACUUGCAUGUGUUAAGCACGCCGCCAGCGUUCAUCCUGAGCCAGGAUCAAACUCU
rnacentral:rRNA from 1 species